rnacentral:snRNA from 1 species
ACACUCGGGUUUCUCUUCAGAUCAUAUAAAUCUUUCACCUUUUACUAAAGAUUUCCAUGGAGGGGAACAAUUCUUACACCAAUUUUUUGAGGCCUUCUUCUGGCGAGGCU